UGAAAAAAUGAUUCUUUUAUUUUGAAAAAUCAUAGCAAAACAUUGCUCAGGGUAUGGUCAAGAGGCUUGCAAAGGGGAAAUAAAACAUCUUUUCAAAAAGGUAUCACAAGAUUGAUUUAGAAGGAAGACUUCCAGAUCCAAACUUCACAUGUUUACAGAAGCAUUUCCCCUUCACACAGCACAGAUAGUAGAAGAUAGUCUGUGGUGACACCGCUUGUGGAGCUCCAUCUGCAGCCGAGGACAGCUGAGAAGGAACUAGGGGUAGGGGUGGCCAGGACGUGUGAGUGCUAGCAGCACACAAGGCGCCUACGGUGCAUGCGUGUCCCAACCAGGCACUGCUAACAAAUGUCUUCGAUCAGUGGCGCUGGGAUGCACCAACUCCUAAAGUGGAGCACCCAUAGGGACACCACUCAGUGAAGUAGUACUAGCUAUGCAAAAAAGAGAGGAGAGGAUGGUUUUGGAAAUUAUCCAGUUCCCCCCAAUCUGAGUGCAUUAACCUCUAAGUUUUUCUUCCACUUCAGGUGUGGUAAUUUCCAUUUCUGUACACAUCAGCCAUCCUGUCUUCAUGCCCAUGUUUUAAAUUACUGUAAAUCGAGGCAAAGUAUUCAUUUAGUUUUGGGAUCAAACCUAGAUUAUCUUUAAUUUCCUCCCCACCCACACUGCUUAGCAUUCCAACCUCAUCCUUCCUUAUUCUUUUUAUUUAUAUAACUAAAAAUCCUCUUAUUUUAAUCUCACUUUAUUCCUACAUUUUCUGACCUCCAAGAUGUAGUUUUCUUUGCCGAUGAAUCCCUUUCUCCAUUCUCUAUAGCUUCUCUGCUUACUCCUAACAACCUUUUGGAGGUGGUUACUCAUUCAGCUGGGUUUGGAGCCUUUCCCUACAAGUGUUUUUCCUCUUUCUUGCGUUGCAAAUUGCAGAUAGUUUUUGUACAUUUGAUUUAAAGAAAUUCCAAGCCUCCUCCACAUUUAAAUCUUUGAGCUCUUCAGUUCAGUUGACUCCUCUGACUAA